UACGUAGGUGGCAAGCGUUGUCCGGAUUUACUGGGCGUAAAGAGCGCGCAGGCGGUCGUUCAAGUCGCGUGUGAAAGCCCCCCGGCUCAACUGGGGAGGGUCACGCGAUACUGAUCGACUCGAAGGCAGGAGAGGGUAGUGGAAUUCCCGGUGUAGUGGUGAAAUGCGUAGAUAUCGGGAGGAACACCAGUGGCGAAGGCGACUACCUGGCCUGUUCUUGACGCUGACGGCGCGAAAGCUAGGGGAGCAAACGGGG
rnacentral:rRNA from 1 species